UAUUCCCAAUUCAAAAAUAUUUUACACAAUUCGAUUUACAUUCAUUUGUUGAUUCUAUAAGUAAAUGAUUAUUUUACGACAUUUGCCAUAAGCGCAUGGCGAGUAAACAAAAAUGUGUUGUGAUGUUGAUGACUUUCCUGACUCGCCGGUUAGGCUGGCUUUGUUCAUUUGAAGCUUCGUUUUUCAUUAAAAAAUGAAGUGCAGCAAGUACAAACAUCGUCAUAAACUACGGCCAAAUGUACGACCCCUGUCUCUCAUUAUUGAUACGAUUCUAGAGCGGAUUCUGGACCGUGGCCUGAGUCAAUAAGUUCAAGUUGAUGUUUCUGAUGGAGAUGACUUGUAAGGAAAGAUCUUUUUCUGAAUAAUGUCUGUUACGUUGCCUUUUCGUCCUAAAGAUGAACUAAACAUGCAUGAUGCUAAAUGAACACAAAAGUAUUUGUAAAUGAAGGAGAAAACAAAAGCCCGGGAAUGCUAGGACCUAACGACUGCCAAAGCUUGAAAUUUCUGAUGUGAUAUCAACACUAUUCAGUAUUUCAUUUGGAACAGAAAAAAUCUGCAGACUGAGAUACUUGUACUGAGGAAAUACCUGCUGUUGAAGAAAAAAUUACCCAAGACUUGUUUAGGUAGAAACAACAAUAUGCAGGUAGUUCAAAUUGCUGCAUCUAUUGGAGCACCCCACCCAUUGUCGUUAGGAAUUUUUCUUGAAUUUCCAGCAUUUACAAAAAUGCACCUU